AGCGAGGGCGAAGUAUGUAUUCCGGAACAAUUAAAAUAUGAUGCUAAACCGGAUAAGAUCGGACAACCGACUUUAGAAACUUAUAGUUACGAUAGUAAAUUAGUGUGCGCCCUAGAAUGUUCAGAAGAACCAUUUUGUACCGCGUUUUCCUUCAAUGAACAAAGCAGUGUGUGCAAGACAUAUAAUAUAGACGUUGAAGAUUCGGAUUCCCAAACAUAUGAAAUUGGCACAGACCUAUAUCUGUACAACCAAAGAUGUGGUCACCUACCAAAUGUACCCAAUGCUUCUCCACCAACGGUCGAAAGUUCCAAUAGUUACCCCGCCGGUAAACGAGUCUUCUAUUCGUGUAUAGAAGGAGCCUACAUGAUUGGUAAUGGUGAAUCCAUGUGUUUAUCAAAUGGCACAUGGUUUAUGUCAAACGUCAGAUGUGUAUUUGUAAAAACCUGCUAUGAAGCCGAUGAGUUAGCAAUAAACAUAUCACCUCCUAUUGCAAUCAGGCCAAUUGAGAAUGGAGCCGUGGUCUAUGUGACUUGUGAGCGAAGAGAGAAUGAUGUUUAUACCGUGAUAGGUCAUAACCUUGCUAACAGAACGUAUAUCAAUGGUCCGGAGGAUUCUUUCAGUGGUGUUUUACCUAUCGAAUAUACAAUACCACUAGAUCUAGCCAUUGGUGUAGUCGACGUCUCCGCAGAAUGUGAGCAGUUUAUCAAAUUCGAAUGUCUCGGAGCUGGCGCCCAUUAUAACGCCUUUAGGACCCGUACAGGAGAACAGGCAGACUAUUUUGCUGGUGGAGUAAAGGGGCGAGGCGAUAACAACUGUGCCUGUCACAUCAGCGAUGCAUGUACAUCGCAAGGAAUAUGUAAUUGCAACGCCGAUACAGGUGAAUGGCAAGACGACACCGGAUAUAACCGAUAUAAAGAAGAUCUACCAAUUACAGCGUUCUUAGGUGGCGACACCGGUAGUACUGACGAAGAAGCCUAUAUAACUAUUGGGAGUUUAAAAUGUAAAGGAUAAUCGAUCUUUAGGUGACAACAACCACACGUAUACUGUUGUAUACUUAGAGAUAUGUCUUUGUAUUUAUGCAUACUCUUUGUUCAUGAGAUGAAGAAGACAAGAAUUAGAACUAACUGCCCUUGCUAACUAAAUAAUCGUGUGGACCCUCUAGAGGUUAAAGUUAUUUCUAGAUUGAUUUGAAAUUAAAACAGUGACUGUGUGAAGAAUGCCAUUAUUAUAA